rnacentral:rRNA from 1 species
AAUUCAGGCCUAACACAUGCAAGUCGAGCGAGACCUUCGGGUCUAGCGGCGGACGGGUGAGUAACGCGUGGGAACGUGCCCUUUGGUUCGGAAUAGCCCCGGGAAACUGGGAGUAAUACCGGAUGAGCCCUACGGGGGAAAGAUUUAUCGCCGAAGGAUCGGCCCGCGUUGGAUUAGGUAGUUGGUGGGGUAAUGGCCUACCAAGCCGACGAUCCAUAGCUGGUUUGAGAGGAUGAUCAGCCACACUGGGACUGAGACACGGCCCAGACUCCUACGGGAGGCAGCAGUGGGGAAUCUUAGAAGAUGGGGGAAACCCUGAUCUAGCCAUGCCG